AUAAAUUUGGCAGAAGAAUGUAUUAGAUUUAGAAUCUAAAGAUAAGAAUUAAAAUUUCUUGAUUUAUA
rnacentral:tRNA from 1 species